AUUGUCGAAGCGACGUCAGAGAUGCAGUGAGUUACUGACUUUGAAAACCGCGGCGCGAAAAACGGACAGAAGAAGAACACUUUUACACAUUUCUUUUUUUAUGUACGAGAUAUUCUCGAUGUACAGUUACUCAUUCUUCUCUUGUCUCUCGUAACUUGUGUCGGACGCGCAUGUCUUGCCGCCGUAUAAUUAUCGUUAAAAUAAUAAUUUUUUAGUGUAAAGUAAAAGUGCAAUACUGCAUAGCAGUAUAUUUAUGGUGCGACUGUUAUGUGAAAACGUCAUAGGAAUUAUUGUCAUUAUGAGAAGAGAAGUGCCAGUCAAAACGGCAUCUAUGUUAAAAUUCUUCAUUGUAGUGAACUGUCAUGGAGCCAACAGCUCAAAGAAGAUCUCCAUAAGCAUCAAUUAAAUAAUUUUUUCUUUCAAAGUCAAGUAGCAAAACUGUAUUCACCCUCGGAAGACCUUAAAGAAAGUGCUGAAGAUGGGUUAGGAAUACAGGACACUAUCUAUAGUUUCACUUCUUGUUUUCAGUAUAAUGUAGUCAGGUUACAAGAUAGAUAGAAUUGUGUUAAUGUUUCUCCAGUUCCAAUUUUAUCCGUAAAAGUAAAACUUCUUUGUUUGUGGACUGAAGCAACUUAAGUGAUGCUAACUGGUUUGAAGUAUUAAGUAAUGUGUGGAUAACUAAGCUCAGAAAGGAAGCAUUUACAGUAAACUGCCACAUAACAAGCAGUUUAUCCAUGCUAAAUAUUGUGGUUCACAUCAACAUCAGUCAGCUGCUGAUAUUCUGGGAUACUGAUCUGAAGAAAUGUCUUGUACAUGAACAGAAUCAAAGACCCCACUACCCCAGAAGAAAAAAAUUAUCUGCAACCCUGUACACCAAGCCUGAUAUGAAUCCACUGUUAAACUUCUUGUUUUAAAAAGAAAUCUGAACAAUAAAUACCUCGGUUGAGAUAUGAGGUGAAAGUAUUGUGAUUCAGGUAACUAAUUUCAUCUGAAAGAUAAAUUAAAAUGAUUACUAAAAAUGUCAAUAAGAUGCACAAAUAUAUUUCUGAGUAAUUGUCUUAACAUGUCUGACUUCAUAUUUGCAUUUUUCUAACGAAAUGGAAUCACUUGAUGUGCAAAAAAUAAUAUUAGGUUCAGUUUCUGCUUCAGAUUUUUGUAGUGAUUUUUCCUUUGGCAUUUUUAGCCUUUCUAAUCCCAUUAAACCAUGAUUCAAUCAAUGUAUAAUAAACAGGAUUUGCACGCAAACACAACUGACAUUCUGUGACGGAACUCAAUUUGGGUUCUGAUGAACUGAAUCUUCCAAAAAAUUGAAACUUAUGAAAGAUCAUUUAAGUGCGUAAGUGAAUGGCUCAGAAAGGCAGUUUGAUUGUCAUGUUCUCUCAAAGAUUCUCACAUAGAAACAGUCUGGGGCACGAUCUGUAUACCAAGUGUAUACUUCUUUGUGGUUUUGUGAAAUUGUAGACUUUCAGAAUGUACUGUGGGAGUUAUGUGUUAGGGAUUUCAUACUCAGGAAGAAUUUAUAUAAAUAUACAUACUGCAGACAUUAUGUAGCUGUUUACAUAUGUCUGGAUAAAAAGAUAUUAAUAUUAGUGAAGAAAUGUUUACAAUCACAGCAGCACUUCCUCAUCAUUUAAAGAUACACAAGAGGCCUAUGUGGAAAGUAGGGAAAGAUAUAUUGAUGUAAAUUCAUUGUUAAUGAGAUGGUCAUGAAUAAUCUAUAAUUUGUUAGAAUUUGAAUUACUUGCCUGUCAUUGAAAUUGAUUUUCUCACAUCUUGCAUUUGUAUUGUAGCUAUUUUGUUCAUUUGUCCAAGGAUUUUUUUACAGGAUAUUUGACACAUAAAACUGUACAGAUGUAUAUAAGUAUGUUACUAACAUAAGUACACUACUGUCAUUACAAAAUUACAUGAUAGAAUUAAACACUCCAAUUUUUAGAUUGUAAGGCUUCCUUUGGCAAUUUCUUUCAACUAAAAGUAGCAACAAUAAAAAACUACAACAAGAACACUCAUAUAUAAGAGCCCAUUUUGUCUGUAUCUGUGCUUUAAUUGAAGCAGUGCUUGUUUGGAAAAUGUCUAUCUAAUAAAUAGGUACAAAAUGUGUGUGUUCUUUAACUGGUCCUCAGAUAGACUGACUCAAAUCUUUUAAUUAAUAUUUUGAAGUGUCCGUUAUUUAUACACAUUUUAUUCUAUGUGGUUUAUUGUUGUAGAGGGUGUCCUAUAUUUAUGGCAUAGUUUUGCUAAUUUAACUAUUUUCACCCCAUAAUUGUUCCCAGAAAGAUAGUUCAGGAACAGUUAACGAAUUUCUCCAUAUUCCUGAGCAGGUAUGAUUUGAUAUGAAUAAUUCAGAAUUAAUAGGCCCACUGAAAUUAAUAAAUGUUCCCAGAAAAGUUAUUCAGAAACUAUCGAUGUAUUCCUCCACAUUUUUAUCAGAAAUGAUGUGGUGUGAGUGAUACAGAAUUAACAGGUCACUUAAGUCUACUGAUACCGGAUGUCAUCAUCUUUCCAUGAGGUAUUGAUUUGACAUGUGACAUCAUAAGUGUGCAAUCACAGAGAAAAGGACACUAUUAAGAUUUUAUGUCUACAUAAUGUUUUAGAAUGUAGGAUGUGGAGACAGACUGAUCUGUAGUAUACCUCAAAAUCUAGAAUCCAUUCUCAGAUAACAGUUUAGUUGUAAGAUGACAGGGUAAGAAAUGAGAAUAAAAAACUUUUAGUGGUAGGGAGUAAAUUGAUCUGUAAUGUAGUCCAAGGUCUAUGUUAGGUUGAAUGGUGAGAAUUUUUGUGAGUUGGCAAAGUGCUAUCAAUGGCUUCAAUUGAUCUGUAUUAAUAAACAUAACUUGUUAGACACAACAGUAAAGAACUGUGUGUGUGUGUGUGUGUGUGUGUGUGUGUGUGUGUGUUGUAGGGAAUAGACCCAUUGUCUUCUCUUUAUUUUUAAGGUAUCUUAAGUGCCAUUUUAUGUAAGGCUUUAAAUCAUUAUGGCACAUAAUAAACGAUUAAUUUUUCCAC